rnacentral:lncRNA from 1 species
AUGGCUUAGAAUAAUGUCUCACACAUUGUAUGCACAAAAUACUAAUGACAAUAAUGGUCAGAUUACCUUAUGCUCAUAGUUUUCUUUAAAGACAAUAUUAUUUUGUAUUUGUUCUUAUUAAAAUGUAUUUUCUUUCUUUUUUUUUUUUUUUAGACGAAGUCUUGCUCUCGUCCCCCAGGCUGGUGUGCAAUGCUGUGACCUCAGCUCACUGCAACCUCUGCCUCCCGGGUUCACAUGAUUCUCCUGCCUCAGCCUCCCAAGCAGCUGGGAUUACAGGUGCGUACCACUGCGCCUGGAUAAUUUUUUGUAUUUUAAGUAGAGAUGGGGUUUCACCACGUUGGCCAGGCUGGUCUUGAACUCCUGACCUCAAGUGAUCCACCCACCUCAGCCUCCCAAAGUGCUGGGAUUACCGGCAUGAGCCACCGCACCCAGCCCGUAUUUUCUGUCUUACUUAAAUAUUGAUAAAUAUAGAAGGGAGGCUUUGUUCUCCUGCUUUAUACAUUCCAAAGUCAAAUUGCAAUUUUAUUAACUUCCUUCUUAUUCAGUAAUUCAUUUGUCUCCCACAGUAAACGUAAGUAUUAACUAACACAAUUAUAGUCAUAUUCUCCAUCUUAAUAAUGCAGUAAAAUUUGUGUUAUUCAUUGACUGGGUUAUAGCCUCAUAUUUUUAUCUCAUGUUAUUUCAUGUGAAGUACCUAAGAUAUAAAUUUUUAUAAAAUACUAUGAACUAAAAAUAAAUGUCUUUUGCUUGAGCUCAGGAGUUCAAGACCAGUCUGGGCUACAUGGAAAGACCCCAUCUCUACUAAAAUUACAACAGACAGCCAGGAAUGAUGGUGUAUGCCUGUGAUCCCAGCUACCUGGGAGGCUGAGGCAGGAGGGUCCCUUGAACCAAGGAGGCAGAGGUUGCAGUGAGCCAAGAUCAUGCCACUGCACUCCAACCUGGGUGACACAGCGAAGCUUUGUCUCAAAAAAAAAAAUACAUACAUACAUAAAUGUCUUAAUAGGCAAAAAUUAUGAUAGUAAUGUUAUAGUUACAAUGUCAUAGUAAUCAAAUAAUGUAGUACCACCAUAGGAAUAGAAUUAUGUAAAUUAAAAGAAUAAAAUUGAAGGUAUAUUAAUAAACACAUUAAUUUUAGGUAAACAUAAUUUUGUCAGUCAUGCUAGGAAAUUCCAAUAGGAGAAAUUGUUCAAAACAUAAUGCUGAGAAAUCAGUUUUCAACAUGCAAAUAUAAUGGAUAUACAUACAUAUAUGUUAAAUAGAAUAGAGUAAAUGAAUAGCCAUAUAACAAGUAAAAAGAAAGUAUUAAUUAAAUUAUUUUCACAUAGAAAAGCUCAGUGUCAAAUUGCAUAAAUUCUAAAUUUCACCAAUAUUUAAUAAUACAUAGUAUAAUUUUUUCACAAAAACUUUCAGCAAUAGCAGAGAUAACAUUUUUCUAUUAAUCUAUUAGCCAGGGGUACUGUGGUACCAAAACCGUGGCUGGGCGCGGUGGCUCACGCCUGUAAUCCCUGCACUUUGGGAGGGCCAAGGUGGGCAGAUCACAAGGUCAGAAGAUCAAGACCAUCCUGGCUAACACGGUGAAACCCGUCUUUACCAAAAAUAUAAAAAAUUAACCGGGCAUUUUGGCGCGUGCCUGUCAUCCCCACUACUUGGGAGGAGAAUUGCUUGAACUAGGAAGUCAGAGGUUGCAGUGACCCAAGAUUGUGUCACUGCACUCCAGCCUGGGCGACAGAGUGAGACUCUGUCAAAAAAAAAAAAAAACAAAAAAACAGACAAAAUAAUCACACAUAAAGAACACUAUGAACCAAAAUUCCAUAUAAAUAUAGAAUUCCUGAUGAAAUUAUUAGAAAUGUUAGCAAACUAAAUCCAGCAACAUGUAAAACUGAUUGCAUACCAUGACCACGUAAUAGUUUGUCAUAAAUGCAGUGUUGGCUUAAUAUUUUAAAAAUCAACCAACAUAUUACAAAAUGUUACCUGAAGAAUAGAAAAAGGUGAUAAUUUAAAUAGACACAAAAAGUAUGACAGAUCCAGCACCCAUUCAUUAUAAAACACUCAGAAAUCUACUAGAAAGGAACUUGUUAAGACCUGCUAAAAAGCAUCUAUAAGAAAUCAAUACCUGGCCGGGCAUGGUGGCUCAUGCCUGUAAUCCCAGCACUUUGGGAGGCCAAAGUGGGCGGAUCACCAGGUCAGGAGAUCAAGACCAUCCUGGCUAACACGGUGAAACCCCAUCUCUACUAAAAAUACAAAAAAUUAGCCAGGCAUGGUGGCGGGCGCCUGUAGUCCCAGCUAUUCAGGAGGCUGAGGCAGGAGAAUGGCGCGAACCCGGGAGGCGGAGGUUGCAGUGAGCCAAGAUCAUGAAUCGCACUCCAGCCUGGGCAACAAGAGUGAAACUCUGUCUCGAAUACAUACAUACAUACAUACAUACAUACAUACAUACAUACAUAUAUAUAUAUAUAUAUACCUAUGUAGGGACCAGCCCCACAGAGUCUGUGGGUUUUUCUCUCCGUGUGCGGAGAUGAGAGAUCGUAGAAAUAAAGAUACGAGACAAAGAGAUGAAAGAAAAGACAGCUGGGCCCGGGGGACCACUACCACCAAGACGCAGAGACCGGUAGUGGCCCCGAAUGCCUGGCUGCCCUGUUAUUUAUUGGAUACAAAGCAAAAGGGGCAAGGUAAAGAGUGCGAGUCAUCUCCGGUGAUUGGUAAGGUCACGUGGGUCACGUGUCCACUGGACAGGGGGCCCUUCCCUGUUAGGUAGCCGAAGCGGAGAGAGAGAGGACAGCUUACGUCAUUAUUUCUUUUACGCUCUUUUCAGAAAGAUCAAAGACUUUAAUACUUUCACUAAUUUUGCUACUGCUGUCUAGAGGGCAGAGCCAGGUGUACAGAGUGGAACAUGAAAGUGAAACAGGAGCGUGACCGCUGAAGCACAGCAUCACAGGGAGACGGUUAGGCCUCCAGAUAACUGCGAGCAGGCCUAACUGAUGUCAGGCCCUCCACAAGAGGUGGUGGAACAGAGUCUUCUCUAAACUCCCCUGGGAAAAGGGAGAGUCCCUUUCCCGGUCUGCUAAGUAGCGGGUGCUUUUCCUUGGCACUGAUGCUACAGCUAGACCAUGGUCUGCUUGGUAAUGGGCAUCUUCCCAGACGCUGGCGUUACCGCUAGACCAAGAAGCCCUCUAGUGGCCCUGUCUGGGCAUGACAGAAGGCUCGCACUCUUGUUUUCUGGUCACUUCUCACCGUGCCCCCUUCAGCUCCUAUCUCUGUAUGGCCUGGUUUUUCCUAGGUUAUAAUUAUAGAGCAAGGAUUAUUAUAAUGUUGGAAUAAAGAGUAAUUGCUACAAACUAAUGAUUGAUAUUCAUAUAUAAUCAUAUCUAUGAUCUAUAUCUAGUAUAACUCUUGUUGUUUUAUAUAUUUUAUUACACUGGAACAGCUCGUGCCCUCAGUUUCUUGCCUCGGCACCUGGGUGGCUUGCUGCCCACAUACCUAAAUGGUUUUUAUGAUAUUAUUAUUACAUUUUGUUCUUAAUUUUCAGUAUGUUGAUUGCUGUUAUAUAAAAGAUUUAACCUUGUCUAUUAAUCUUGUAUUUUGUGACAUUAAUAAAAUUUUUUAUUAACUGAAGUAUGUUUUUGGUAAAUUUAUCAUAGUUUUUAACCCAAUAUUAUGGCAAGAUAAUAGUAUCCUACUUCUUUUCUAAUCUGAAGAUUUUAUUUAUUUUUCUAGUAUACUUUUCUGGCUAAUACUUCCAGGACAGUGUAAAAACAGAGUGGAAAAAGUGUACAUUCUUGUUCCAUUUUUAAACUUACAGAUACAGCCUGCAAUCAUCUACCGUUAAGUAUACUAUUAGCUAUUGAUUUCUUUUUUUUUUUUUUUUUUUGAGACAGAGUCUUACUCUGUUGCCUAGGCUGGAGUGCAGUGGCUCAAUCUCGGCUCACUGCAACCUCUGCCUCCCGGGUUCAAGCGAUUCUCCUGCCUCAGCCUCCUGAGUAGCUGGGAUUACAGGCACACACCACCACGCCUGGCUAAUUUUUGUAUUUUUAGUAGAGAUGGGGUUUCACCAUGUUGGUCAGGCUGGUCUCAAACUCCUGACCUCCUGAUCUGCCCACCUCUGCCUCCCAAAGUGCUGGGAUUACAGAUGUGAGCCACCGUGCCCAGCCAGCUAUUGAUUUCUUAUAGAUGCUUUUUAGCAGGUCUUACAAGUUCCUUUCUACUAGAUUUCUGAGUGUUUUAUCAUGAACGGGUGCUGGAUUUUUUAUACUUUUUUUGCUUAUUUACAUUGACACUUUUUUCUAUUGUUCAAGUAACAUUUUGUAAUAUUUUGGUUGAUUUUAAAAAUAUUAAGCCAACACUCCAUUUGUGACAAACUAUUGCUUGGUUAUGGUAUGUAAUCAGUUUUACAUGUUGCUGGAUUUAGUGUGCCAACAUUUCUUUUUUUUUUUUUUUUGAGAUGGAGUCUUGCUCUGUCACCCAGACUGGAGUGCAGUGGCACAAUCUCGGCUCACUGCAACUUCUGCCUCCUGGGUUCAUGCGAUUCUCCUGCCUCAGCCUUCCAAGUAGCUGGGACUACAGGUGCGCGCCACCACGCCCAGCUAAUUUUUGUAUUUUUAGUAGAGACAAGGUUCCACCAUGUUGGCCAGGAUGGCCUUGAUCUCUUGACCUCAUGAUCCGCCUGCCUCAGCCUCCCAAAGUGCUGGAUUACAGUCAUGAGCCACCAUGCCCAGCCGUGUGCUAACAUUUCUAAUAACUUCAUCAGGAAUUCUAUAUUUAUAUGGAAUUUUAGUCCAUAGUCUUCUUUACUUGUGAUUCUUUUGUCUGGCUUUGGUAUCACAGUACCCCUAGCUAGUAAAUUAAUAGAAAAAUGUUACCUCUGCCAUUGAUGAAAGUUUAUGUGAAAAAAUUAUAUUACAUUUUUAUUAAAUGUCAGUGAAAUUCAGAAUUAAUGCAAUUUGACACUGAGCUUUUAUAUGUAAAAAUAAUUUAAUUAAUACUUUCUAUUGUUAUAUGGGUAUUCACUUACUCUCAUUUAAUAUAUAUGGAUGUAUAUUCUUCAUUUUUGCACAAUGAAAACUGAUUUCUCAGCAUUAUUUGUUGAACAAACUUCCUCCAUUGGAAUUUCUUGGCAUCUUUGACAGAAUUAUUUUUACCUCAAAUUAAUACCUUCAACUUUAUUCUUUUAAUCUACACAAAUCAAUUCCUAUGGUAGUACUAUAUUCUUUGAUUACCAUAACAUUAUAACUAUAGCAUUACUAUCAUAAUCUUUGCCUAUCAAGAGUUUUUUUUGUUUUUUUUUUAGACAGUGUCUUGCUCUUAUCGCCCAGACUGGAGUGCAUUGGCGCGAUUUCGGCUCACUGCAACCUCUGCCUCAUAGGUUCAAGUGAUUCUCCUGCCUCAGCCUCCCAAGUAGCUGGGAUUACAAGUGCCCACCACCACACCCAGCUAAUUUUUGUAUUUUUAGUAGAGACGGGGUAUCGCCAUGUUGGCCAGGCUGGUCUCAAGCUCCUGACCUCAGGUGAUGUGCCCGCUUUGGCCUCCCAAAGUGCUGGGAUUACAGGCGUGAACCACCAUGCCCAUCUGGACAUUUAUUUUUUUAUUUUUUGAGACACCGUCUUGCUCUGUCAACCAGUCUGCAGUGCAGUGUGAUGAUCUUGGCUCACUCCAACCUCUGCCUCAUGGGUUCAAGGGAUCCUCCUGCCUCAGCCUCCUGAGUAGCAGGGACCACAGGCAUGCACCACCACAUAUGACUGACUUUUGUAGUUUUGGUAGAGAUGGGGUCUUGCCAUGUAGCCCAGGCGGGUCUUGAACUCCUGAGCUCAAGCAAAAGACAUUUUUUAAUUUUAUACUAGUUUACAAAAGUUUAUAUCCUAGAUACUUGACAUGAAAUAAUAUGAAAUAAAAAUAUAAAAUAGGCUGGGCGCAGUGGCUCACGCCUAUAAUCCUAGCACUUUGGGAGGCUGAGGCUGGAGGAUCACCAUAUCAGGAGAUCAGUACCAUCCUGGCCAAUAUGGUGAAACCCCGUCUCUACUAAAAAUACAAAAGUUAGUUGGGCGUGGUGGCGGGUGCCUGUAAUCCCAGCUACUCAGGAGGCUGAGGCAGGAGAAUUGCUUGAACCAGGGAGGAGGAGGUUGCAGUGAGCCAAGAUCAUGCCACUGCACUCCAGCCUGGGCUGUAACUUAAUCAAUAAAUAACACAAAUUUUACUCCAUUAUUAAGAUGGAGAAUAUGACUAUAAUUGUGUUAGUUAAUACUUAUGUUUACUGUGGGAGACAAAUUAGUUACUGAGUAGUUAACUGAGUAGUUAGAAGUUAAUAACAUUGCAAUUUGACUUUCGAAUGUAUAAAGCUGGCAAACGAAGCCUCCCUUCUAUAUUUAUCAACAUUUAAGUAAGACAAAAUGAAUUUUAAUAAGAACAAAUAAAAAAUAAUUAUAUUGUAUUUAAAGAAAGCUAUGAACAAAAGAUAAUCUGACCAUCACAGUCAUUAGUAUUUCAUUCAUACAAUAUGUAAGACAAUAUUUUAAGCCAUUAAACAUUUUUAGACUUAACACCUAAGAGUUUAAAGUGAAUAUGUUAAAUAUUUAUUGAAUUAAAAACUGGUACCUUUAAAAAUUAGAUUUUAAUUGAAAUAUAAUUAUUAGGCCGGGCACAGUGGCUCACACCUGUAAUUCCAGCACUUCGGAAGGCCAAGGCAGGCAGAUCACCUGAGGUCAUGAGUUCGAAACCAAUCUGACCAAAAUGGUGAAACCCAAUCUCCACUAAACAUACAAAAAUUAGGCGGGCGUGGUGGUGUGUGCCUGUAAUCCCAGCUACUUGAGAGGCUGAGGCAGGAGAAUCACUUGAACCUGGGAGGCAGAAGCUGCAGUGAGCCAAGAUCACACCAUUGCACUCCAGUCUGGGCAACAGAGCAAGACUCCCUCUCAAACAAACAAACAAACAAACAAAAGAUUAUUCACAAAAAUGGAAGUAAAAUUUCCACAAAUGUAUAGAGCUAAAACCAGAGAAAUAAAUAUAAAUGGAACUGAGAGAAAUUGUCCUUAAAGCUGGAAAUGGAUUCUUACAAUACCUUCAACAAAAAAGGGUAAAUUAUUUUCAAAAGAAAAACAUUAAUUUGGUUAUCAAUAGGAGCUUCUUAAGUGUGUAGUUCAAGAAAAAAGAAACAUUUUUGUGUCUAAAGUUAAAAAUAAAAAUGAAAGAGUAAGAGACUUGACUUGGGAGCUGACAUGUUCUUUUCUCAAGGUUAUCAGUACCCGGCAGCCUUUCAACUACAAACAACAUUCUAGAGUUGACAAAAUAUUUGUAUAUCCCAUCUCUUCUCUGAUCUUUAUAUGCUGUUUGGCUGUGCAAAAUAGAGGCUAAAGUCCCAUUUUGCAGAUGAAAAAGCUGAGGCUCGGAAAGACAAACAUCACACACAAAGUUUGGGUCACAACUGGCAUUAGAACACAGGACUCUCAAACCAGUGCUUUCCCAUCACUAAACCACUCCUAGGGCUAAGAAUACAUUAAGACUCCAAAAGAUAGAGAAUUGCUCAAUGCAUUCCACCAAGAUUAGACCUGACCCACCCCAGAAAGCUAAGCCGCUCUGGGGCCCUGGGGUGGAAAACUCAAGAAAAAGAAUGAUGCCUACAUUCACACAUCUGAGCUCCAAUCCAAACUCGGCCAGUCAGUUAUAGAACCUCAUUUGCUGAGCCUCAGCUUUUUCUGAUAUAAAAUGGAACUACAGAAGGCUCCAAAAAGAUCAGGAUAAGGGCAGAACUGCACUCUAAAUGCAGGAGUGCCUGGCAGGUGGAAACCACUCACUGACUUUUAGUUUAAGCACAUAAGUAAUAUGUUGUGUUUCACUGUGUCUCCUCCAUGGUGUCUGUUUCAUGGCUCCAGAUCCUGGGGGCUUCUGAUCAAUCCUUCUGCUAAGUGAUGGACGAAUAGAUGAAUGGAUGGGUGGUUGAAAGGGUGGAUGAAAUGAUGCAUAGAUGGAUGAAUGCUCAGGAGGGCAGAAAGAAGUAAACACAGAGUCAAAAUAAGAAUGAGGAGAUGAUUGAAGGAUGAAGAGUUGAUGCAUGAGAUAGAGACAUGGUCUCCAACCCUCCUAUCCCCACACAGCCUCACCAACACCUGCCUUGGGGUAGCAGUGGCACAUGCUUCAGAUGAUGUCCCCAGUCACCAUGACAUAGCUGCGGAAGGUGCCAUAGACCUGAGGCUAAUCAUGGCUCAUGAGAAACGUGCUAAGAGCCAGCAGAAAAAACCCAGCAGCACAAUAAAGUCGACGUUGAAACUCUUCUCAUCUGCAAUGGCUGCCUGGCCAGGCCAUAGACUAUGCACUCCUGGCAGAGGGGGUGCAUGUCAUCCAGCAUAAACACCCAGACAGGCUCACAGGGAGGGACGAAGCUCUGCGAUUGCUGCCAAUUGAGGCUUAAAGUUAAAGGGAGAACAAGACCCCCUCAGGUCCAGACCCAGUGCCUGGGCCCACAAGUUCAGAUGGCAAGAGGCAGCACACUUCAGUGAACAAUUGCACCCACCCACCCACUCACCUUCUCUCCUCACCAUCCUGCCUUCUCUGCAGGCUAAGCAGUCCUGCAGGGCAUGUAUGAAUCUGAAUGAGAGAGUAUGCAGGAAAGAGAGAAGGGAAGAUUACCAGGACUGGGCCCCAGCCAAGGAUUUGACAUCACCUUAUUUGCCUACUAUAGGGAUGAACUAGGUGGUCAAGUGGCCGUAUUAUUUCACUGUAUUAAUACAAAUACACCUUCCAGCCCUGGGAAGCAGCAUACAAUUGCCAAGAGACGUUAGAAUGCUGCUGGAGGAUUCCAGGGUCUCACAGUCUGGAUUUUAGAGUCCUGAAUUUUAGACUUUUCAAGGACAUGUGCUCCUCUGGGGUUCAGGCAUAAUAGACUAUAUUUACCGAUGGUGACUGUGUGCAUGACGCCAUAACAUGUUACACUAUUAACUCACUUAAGGGACUCCAUGAGGCAGGUACUGCUAUCUUCACUUUACAGAGGACACUGAGCACAGGCAAGUAACUUCCCCAUGGUCACACAGCUGGAAAUAGCAGAGCAGCUGGGAUGUGCACCCAGAGUCUGUGUACUUAGCCACAGUGCAAUCCUGCAUAACUACAAAACAAACUUAUGUGUGUGAGCAUCUAUCCGCCCAAGCAGACAAGUGUCAAACUACGCGAAUGCUGUCCAAGCACUGCGUGAGCAUACACUUCUCUGAAAGCGUUCUGCUCAUCAACAGGGCCAGCCAGUGACUUUUCUGAUCGCUUAAUGCACCUAUCCAGUCUCUUCACAGGCGGCUCCUGGGGUCUGCCGGGGGUGCUGGCGUCGGGUUGGCCCUGGCGCUGUCCCCAGCCCCCACUCCCCAGGCCCUGCAGCGCCAUGAGGUCGGACUCCUGGGCGUGUCCUGGGUUCUGACCCACCCGCGACGCCAGCUGCCCGCGCCCGGAGCGGAUGGGCCUGGCCCGGCUCCACCCCGCGGGGCUCCGCGGCUCAACGGGUCGCCCAGGGGCGCGGGCCCGGCUUCGUCCUCGACGGUGUCCGCCCCGGCCCUGGCUAGGCCGACGGCAGCCGGGUCCGGGUGGGGCUCGGGCUCGGGGCGCGCCC